CAGUCGCCGCGGUAAUACGAAGGGGGCUAGCGUUGCUCGGAAUGACUGGGCGUAAAGGGCGCGUAGGCGGAUUGUUUAGUUAGGCGUGAAAUUCCUGGGCUUAACCUGGGGACUGCGCUUAAUACAGGCAGUCUAGAGUGAGGAAGAGGGCUGUGGAAUUCCCAGUGUAGAGGUGAAAUUCGUAGAUAUUCGCAGGAACACCAGAGGCGAAGGCGGCUAACUGGUCCAUAACUGACGCUGAGGUGCGAAAGCGUGGGGAGCAAUCAGGAUUAGAUACCCCUGUAGUCCCUGUCUCUUAUAC
rnacentral:rRNA from 1 species